AUGGAGCUGGAUGACGUGAUCGUUGGCGAUGAGGAAAUUGCAGAACUGUCCAAGGAGUCCCGGUGGCUAGCGGUAGCACGGGUGAACACGACGAAGUACUUCAGUGCCGAGUCCUUCAAGAACACAAUGAUUUUCGCAUGGAGACUUGCCCACGAGCCAGAUAUCCGCGAGGCAGAUAACAAUCUGUUCGUCGUCCAACUUUUCUGCUUAGGAGAUUGGAACAGAGUUAUGCACCAGGGCCCUUGGAUCUAUAGGGGACUUAUGGUGGCAAUUGAAGAGUAUGACGGCAAAGGUAAACCAGAUCUAGUUCAGCUCGACCGAGUCCAUGUGUGGGCGCAGAUUCAUGAUACCCCGGAGCUCUACAGGAAGGAGAUAAUUGUAGACCAACUGGCUCGUCGCAUAGGUCAGGUGAAGAGCGUGGAGAUGAACCCUAACCGAGUCUUUGAAGGCAAC
rnacentral:rRNA from 1 species